rnacentral:rRNA from 1 species
CGAACGCUGGCGGCGUGCCUAAUACAUGCAAGUCGAGCGAAGUUUUUCUGGUGCUUGCACUAGAAAAACUUAGCGGCGAACGGGUGAGUAACACGUAAAGAACCUGCCUCAUAGACUGGGACAACUAUUGGAAACGAUAGCUAAUACCGGAUAACAGCAUUAACUGCAUGGUUGAUGUUUAAAAGUUGGUUUUGCUAACACUAUGAGAUGGCUUUGCGGUGCAUUAGCUAGUUGGUGGGGUAAAGGCCUACCAAGGCGACGAUGCAUAGCCGACCUGAGAGGGUGAUCGGCCACACUGGGACUGAGACACGGCCCAGACUCCUACGGGAGGCAGCAGUAGGGAAUCUUCCGCAAUGGGCGAAAGCCUGACGGAGCAACGCCGCGUGAGUGAAGAAGGAUUUCGGUUCGUAAAGCUCUGUUGUUAGGGAAGAAUGAUUGUGUAGUAACUAUACACAGUAGAGACGGUACCUAACCAGAAAGCCACGGCUAACUACGUG